rnacentral:misc_RNA from 1 species
GACUUUCUGGUAAGUUUAUCGCAAGAUGUCGGGGGAUGUUUUGCGCGACGAGCCGCUACUAUGCUCUCGGUCGAAAUGACUUGCUUAUCGUGGCGAGAUGUUGUAAAAUCCCGUCUUAAAUUUAGUUCAAAAGUAUUUUAAACAUCAGACAAGUGUUGUUUAGUGUUAUCUAAAUAUUAUCCAGUGAGUAUCGUGUUUGUAAAGUCACGAAGUAAAAACCAGUACACAAAGGAUCUCGUGCAGUGAUUGGUCUGGCAGGUUCUACGUCUCAUUGAUAAACUUUUGUCUCUUUAUCUAUUAAUUUUACUACGUUGAUUAUACUACUGCGGAAUUUCUUCAAGCCGGCAAAGUCUUAGAAAAACGCUAAAAUACUCCCCCGAACCAAAUUUCUCACGAUUCCAACGAAAACGCGUUUCAAAGCCGAUAAAGAAUGGGUGCAAAAGCCAGCACAGUCGCACAGUCUGGGAAUGGGCAAUCCUCGGGAGCCAACGAAAUGCAGGGGUUCUCAAUACUCCGUUCGUUGCCCGGGGUCAUACAGCAGAGUCAAUCACAGGCGUCGCGGGGCGACAGCAGACAAAGGGCCAGGUCGUUGAGUUCAGUACCAGAUUUAACAUCCGGGGAACAAGGGAUGGCCUCCUCGGUUGGCGUGAGCGUCGGCCAGGCGCUGGGGAUUCCGCAGCUCGACUCCGACGAUACGGACGACGACAGCGGUCGGGUUUACGCCGCUCAUAGUCUACCCUCUCACAUUUGGUCCCUAAACGGUUUAAAGUGUCCUGUAUGCUCCAAGUUCAUCCUUCCCGAUGAUAUAGAGUGCCACCUGGUCAUGUGCCUAACCAAACCUCGCCUAAACUACAAUGAGGACGUUUUGGCAGAUCAAAAAGGUGAAUGUGUUAUUUGCCUGGAGGAGUUACAGCCUGGAGAUGUAAUCGCCCGUUUGCCUUGCCUAUGCAUAUAUCAUAAAAACUGCAUCGACAGAUGGUUUCAAGUGAAUCGCAGCUGUCCCGAACAUCCUGGUGACUGAUUCGCACUGGUGAAGUUUCGAGGUAAAAAAUCAUUGGAACAAUUUGUGUCCCAUGGGACACUUGCCAAAGGGAUGAAGUAGAGAUGUUGCAAACGAAGAAUUGAACAGGAAGAAAUUAUAAAUAAAUAAAUAAUGAAUUUAAAAAAAACUAGUCAAGGUGACCGCUAGUCCGCAAUGGUGGUUCGUGUAUGGUGAAUGGUGAAUGGUGAAUGGUGAUCGGUCGACUUAAGAAAGCGCAAUUGAAUUGAACAUAAGGACAAAAUAAUUGAAUUCUUAGUUGGUUAUUGAUAGACUAAAGGGACUUAUAAAUCGCCAUAAGAUUCAACGAUACAAUGCUAUUACCUAUACGUAUCUAUAAUUAAUCGAUUAUUACUCUAUUGCUUAUUACCCAUUGUACCAUAUUUAUAAAUUUUACUUAGUUUUAUCUCUUGAAAUCUAUUUGAAUUUAAGUAAAGCGUUCUUUGGAGAAGGCCGUGCAGUGGCAGGGGUAAUAGAGGGAAAGGGGAGCAAGACGACGAUUAAAGGGAGGGAGACAGGACCUAUAUACAUAUAACAGGGAUGUGCACUAGAAAGGAUAUUUUUGAUACUUUCAUAAAGGGAAGAAGGAACAGGAUGUAUAGAAUUUUAAAAAGCAGAGGACUUAUCUUAACAAUGUUGACGCUAUAGCAAAAAUGUAAUAAAGGGUCUGAAUCAA